rnacentral:rRNA from 1 species
UAAGGAGUAUUGGUCAAUGGAGGGAACUCUGAACCAGCCAUGCCGCGUGCAGGAAGACGGCCCUCUGGGUUGUAAACUGCUUUUAUUCGGGAAUAAACCUAUUUACGUGUAAAUAGCUGAAUGUACCGAAGGAAUAAGGAUCGGCUAACUCCGUGCCAGCAGCCGCGGUUAUACGGAGGGUCCAAGCGUUAUCCGGAUUUAUUGGGUUUAAAGGGUGCGUAGGCGGCUUAUUAACUCAGGGGUGAAAGACGGUGGCUAAACCAUCGCAGUGCCCUUGAUACUGAUGAGCUUGAAUGGACUAGAGGUAGGCGGAAUGUGACGAGUAGCGGUGAAAUGCAUAGAUAUGUCACAGAACACCGAUUGCGAAGGCAGCUUACUAUGGUUUUAUUGACGCUGAGACACGAAAGCGUGGGGAUCAAACA